rnacentral:rRNA from 1 species
GUCGAACGCUGGCGGCGUGCUUAACACAUGCAAGUCGAACGGAAAGGCCCUGCUUUUGUGGGGUGCUCGAGUGGCGAACGGGUGAGUAACACGUGAGUAACCUGCCCUUGACUUUGGGAUAACUUCAGGAAACUGGGGCUAAUACCGGAUAGGAGCUCCUGCUGCAUGGUGGGGGUUGGAAAGUUUCGGCGGUUGGGGAUGGACUCGCGGCUUAUCAGCUUGUUGGUGGGGUAGUGGCUUACCAAGGCUUUGACGGGUAGCCGGCCUGAGAGGGUGACCGGCCACAUUGGGACUGAGAUACGGCCCAGACUCCUACGGGAGGCAGCAGUGGGGAAUAUUGCACAAUGGGCGGAAGCCUGAUGCAGCGACGCCGCGUGCGGGAUGACGGCCUUCGGGUUGUAAACCGCUUUCGCCUGUGACGAAGCGUGAGUGACGGUAAUGGGUAAAGAAGCACCGGCUAACUACGUGCCAGCAGCCGCGGUGAUACGUAGGGUGCGAGCGUUGUCCGGAUUUAUUGGGCGUAAAGGGCUCGUAGGUGGUUGAUCGCGUCGGAAGUGUAAUCUUGGGGCUUAACCCUGAGCGUGCUUUCGAUACGGGUUGACUUGAGGAAGGUAGGGGAGAAUGGAAUUCCUGGUGGAGCGGUGGAAUGCGCAGAUAUCAGGAGGAACACCAGUGGCGAAGGCGGUUCUCUGGGCCUUUCCUGACGCUGAGGAGCGAAAGCGUGGGGAGCGAACAGGCUUAGAUACCCUGGUAGUCCACGCUGUAAACGGUGGGUACUAGGUGUGGGGUCCAUUCCACGGGUUCCGUGCCGUAGCUAACGCUUUAAGUACCCCGCCUGGGGAGUACGGCCGCAAGGCUAAAACUCAAAGGAAUUGACGGGGCCCCGCACAAGCGGCGGAGCAUGCGGAUUAAUUCGAUGCAACGCGUAGAACCUUACCUGGGUUUGACAUGGAUCGGGAGUGCUCAGAGAUGGGUGUGCCUCUUUUGGGGUCGGUUCACAGGUGGUGCAUGCCUGUCGUCAGCUCGUGUCGUGAGAUGUUGGGUUAAGUCCCGCAACGAGCGCAACCCUUGUUCACUGUUGCCAGCACGUUAUGGUGGGGACUCAGUGGAGACCGCCGGGGUCAACUCGGAGGAAGGUGGGGAUGACGUCAAGUCCUCAUGCCCCUUAUGUCCAGGGCUUCACGCAUGCUACAAUGGCUGGUACAGAGAGUGGCGAGCCUGUGAGGGUGAGCGAAUCUCGGAAAGCCGGUCUCAGUUCGGAUUGGGGUCUGCAACUCGACCUCAUGAAGUCGGAGUCGCUAGUAAUCGCAGAUCAGCAACGCUGCGGUGAAUACGUUCCCGGGGCU